GGUUGUAGCUCAGAGGUAGAGCACUUGCUUCACAUGUAUAAGGCCCUGGGUUCGAUCCUCAGCACCA
rnacentral:tRNA from 1 species